AAGAACAAGUUGAAACUGCCAAAACAGUUCACCUUACAGCGAAAAACGUGUUUUAUUUUUGCUAAAUGCGAAAACAUUGCAUUUUUACCUAAUCUAUUCGAGAAUAGGUAACAUUUUAGUGCACUCUAUUGCCUUGCAAUUGAGGCUGCUUCAGCAAACGUUUU